CCCGUAGGUAAGCGCACAACCGCUUAUGACCGUUGACCAUCGUUCAACCGUUUUCGCCCUCGCAUGGCGGAGGCCAGGGGUUCGAGUCCCCUCGGGUCCA
rnacentral:tRNA from 1 species